AGCUUUGUGCAGUGGCAGUUUCGUAGCCAAUGAGGUUUAUCCAAGGCGCGAUUAUUGCUAAUUGAAAAUUAUGAUUUUCCUAAUUUA
rnacentral:snRNA from 1 species